GAGGGGCCCGCGUCGGAUUAGCUAGUUGGUGGGGUAACGGCCUACCAAGGCGAUGAUCCGUAGCUGGUCUGAGAGGAUGAUCAGCCACACUGGGACUGAGACACGGCCCAGACUCCUACGGGAGGCAGCAGUAGGGAAUAUUGGACAAUGGGCGCAAGCCUGAUCCAGCCAUGCCGCGUGGGUGAUGAAGGCCCUAGGGUUGUAAAGCCCUUUCGGCGGGGAAGAUAAUGACGGUACCCGCAGAAGAAGCCCCGGCUAACUUCGUGCCAGCAGCCGCGGUAAUACGAAGGGGGCUAGCGUUGCUCGGAAUCACUGGGCGUAAAGCGCACGUAGGCGGCUUUUUAAGUCAGGGGUGAAAUCCUGGAGCUCAACUCCAGAACUGCCUUUGAUAUUGAGAAGCUUGAGUCCGGGAGAGGUGAGUGGAACUGCGAGUGUAGAGGUGAAAUUCGUAGAUAUUCGCAAG
rnacentral:rRNA from 1 species